UACCAGCACCCCGAGUGGUCGGGACGUUUAUUGGGCCUAAAGCAUCCGUAGCCGGUUCUACGAGUCUUCCGUUAAAUCCAACUGCUUAACAGGUGGGCUGCGGAAGAUACUAUAGAGCUAGGAGGCGGGAGAGGCAAGCGGUACUCGAUGGGUAGGGGUAAGAUCCGUUGAUCCAUUGAAGACCACCAGUGGCGAAGGCGGCUUGCCAGAACGCGCUCGACGGUGAGGGAUGAAAGCUGGGGGAGCAAACCGG
rnacentral:rRNA from 1 species